GGGGGCGAUCUGGUUUCGACGGGAGAGCUGAUACAAGGGUUGCAUGCACGGGAUACCGUUGGCCCGUUAAAAAACGGUGUUUAUAUAAUCGCUAACGAUUAUGAUGUAGCUGUAGCCGCUUAAUUUAAACGGUUACCGUCCGCCGUGUCCAUGUUCGCGGGAUGCGGGUCGGACGUCACUCAGCGAACUGGUUUGGACCGCAUGUUCCGGGCGGACUGAACGAGAUUUUUAGGAACUGGCUUAGGCCCAAUCCUGCCUUGGGAGUUUGUCUAAGUGAGAUCUAAAUCAAAGGAUAAGCAUGUAGAGGCCUUUGCUUGAAACCUUUCGGACGGGGGUUCGAUUCCCCCCGCCUCCACCA
rnacentral:tmRNA from 2 species